rnacentral:rRNA from 1 species
AACGAACGCUGGCGGCGUGGUUUAGGCAUGCAAGUCGAGCGCGAAAGUCACUUCGGUGGCGAGUAGAGCGGCGAAAGGGUGAGUAAUGCUUGGGCAACUUACCCUUGGACCGGGAUAGCCACUGGAAACGGUGGGUAAUACCGGAUGGUCUCGCGAGCACUGCGGUGUACGCGAGUAAACGCGGGGGUCUUCGGACCUCGCGCCGAGGGAGAGGCCCGAGUCCUACCAGCUUGUUGGUGAGGUAAUAGCUCACCAAGGCGAAGACGGGUAGCCGGACUGAGAGGUUGGCCGGCCACACUGGCACUGAGACACUGGCCAG